GACGAACGCUGGCGGCGUGCUUAACACAUGCAAGUCACGGGGGCCCGGUAGCAAUAUCGGGCAACCGGCGAACGGGUGCGUAACACGUGAGCAAUCUGCCGAUCUCUGGGGGAUAGCCGGCCCAACGGCCGGGUAAUACCGCAUACGCUCAUCGGGGGACAUCCCCUGGUGAGGAAACCUCCGGGGGAGAUCGAGGAGCUCGCGACCUAUCAGCUAGUUGGCGAGGUAAUGGCUCACCAAGGCUACGACGGGUAGCUGGUCUGAGAGGAUGGCCAGCCACAUUGGGACUGCGACACGGCCCAGACUCCUACGGGAGGCAGCAGUGGGGAAUAUUGCGCAAUGGACGAAAGUCUGACGCAGCGACGCCGCGUGUGGGAUGAAGCUC
rnacentral:rRNA from 1 species